UAUUAAAAAUUGUAUCUUUUUUACUGUUAAAAAUAGACGUAACUAAUAGAAUAACAAGAUAAUGAUAUUUGGCAUGCCACAUAUACUUUAUCUUGAUGUAUAUAAAUUAAAUUUUAAAAGUAAAAAUAGAUAAAUUUUUAACA
rnacentral:pre_miRNA from 1 species